UCUAUUAGCAGAGUUAAAAAAAAAAGGAUAUGUUAUAAUACAAAAUAAAAUUGUUGGUACUACAAAUUGUUUGAUAAUUAAUUAUAGUGUUUUUCAAAUUAACUACGCAAUAUAGUCUAUAAUUUUAUAAUUGUUACUUUCUAUUUAUUGAUUUAUUUAAAAAUUUUCGAAAAAAAGAAUUUAGUAGAUAAUUUAAACAAUUAUUCAAUAAAAGAAAAUUGGACCAUUACUAUCAGAAUAGUGGCAUAUGAUUGCAACGCGAGGAAGUUCAGUGAGAUUUUUAUUAAUUUGAACACAUCCAAAACAUUAGAAAAAUCAUUAAAGAUUUGUUUAGCUAUCCUACAAGUUUGUCAAUUAUAUAUUAUGAAAACUAACCAAAAAAUAUAUAAAACAUAGAUAUGAAGAAGAGGUAGAAGAAGACCAAAACAGAGAUAAAAGGAUGCUAUUGAAUGCGAAAAGGACAUUUGAUGUGAGAGAUCGUGUCAAGUGGAAGUUGAGGAUAAGGGUGGCCGACCCCAAGUAGUUGGGAUUAAGGCGAGGAAGAAGAUAUAUCUAUGUAUGUCUAAACUCAACGUACUUAUCGACUUUAUUUUUAACUAAUAAAAGGUAUAAAAAAACAUUCACGAAAAAUGUUUGUUGACAAUUAGAGAUAGUUUUACGGAUGAUUUAUUUGCAGGGUGUUUAUCUGUAAUACCUUUUUGCUCGUCUCCAAGGGCGCAGUAAUCCCUUUCAUUCUCUUCCUUGCCAUCCAUUAUAAUAUAAUAUUAAUUUUUUAAACAACAGGAGAAUAAAUUUAAAUUUCUUACGCAUUUUUAAUUUGUGUCUAUGUUAUACAGAUAUACAG